rnacentral:lncRNA from 1 species
CUACUUACUAAGCUGCUGAUGUCUACAGUAAAUCCGGGUUUGGACCUUUUCCUUUUGGACUGAGAACACUCAAUAGAGAGAGAGAGAGAGAGAAACGUUUCUGUAUCUUAUCGGGUUUUGUGUUGUCAGCAGAAGAAGGCUCUACGACAAAAAAAAUCAAAGGCAAUUAUUUUUAGGGUUCAAACGAAGAAAAAUUUGUAGCUUUCGAGAACUUACUGUGUGUGGUGGCUUUUCUAAGACCGAAGCUUUUUUUCUUCUUCUCUCUCCCAAUUUGUGAGUCUAUCUCUCUCCGUAAGCUCUUUACUUUAUUUGCUCUGUUUCUUUCUUCUUUUACUCUGUUUCUUUACUCAAUUUUUUUGUCUUGAUUUAUACAUUCUUUAGUAGUUGCUUAAAAUCUAAGUUUUCAGCUUUUGAUUUCCUUUAUGCAACUCCCGUGACCAAAAUUUUUACCAUCUUUGAUUAUGUUACCAGAUUCUUUCUACUCAUAGUUUUUGUACAAGUUGAACUCUUCUUGUUUACAUUAACUUUUAUAUAGUUCUCCGAGAGUGACUUUUUUGUUCUCCUUCUGAUCCGUG